UGUAAUUUACCCUAUUUAUUCCCCAUUUAAAUAGGAAUAAAUGAAAUGCUUAGUAAUUGAGUAUAUUUAUUUACAUAUUGAUAAAUUCAAAAUAAUUUAAUAAUUUCUUUAUAGUCUGUUUCAAUGUUUUCUAGUGGUUUUCCUGACAGUUGUGAUCCUCCAUACAGUCACCAACCCAGAUUAGUCCUCACCUGCUGAGCUGCCAGCUGACUCGUUGGGUCCAAUUAUGUUCAUGCAGGUGUGCAGCGCGGCCAUUACAAACACACCAACGUCACCACUCUGCUCACACACACAGCCGCUGGUUUCACCGUGUUCGCCUUGUGACUGCUGCCACUCCUGACGCGGGGAUUCUCACCUGGUUUCCAUCACACCUGGGUCUGAGGCCAACCCGGUCACCGUUUGCAAAGGUGUUGUGCAGUUUGUGCAGAUGUCCUUCCAGAGACGACACGUCCAACUCCGUGUCUCCGUAGAGGUAGUAUUCAAGCAGGGCCUGGUAGAUGAAUGAGUACUGCAUCUGAGAUUUGUCAGCAUGACAACGGUCGCUACUUUCUGCUCCCAGAUCAUCCUCCAGAAAUCUGCUACGGUGUCUUCUUUCGGGCCUGUGAGAAAAACGUUAAAUAGUUGAAGUAAUGUGAUUUAUUAAGACAUGAAA